rnacentral:rRNA from 1 species
UUUUCAUCAGACAAUCUGUGUGAGCACUGCAAAGUACGCUUCUUUAAGGUAAGGAGGUGAUCCAACCGCAGGUUCCCCUACGGUUACCUUGUUACGACUUCACCCCAGUCAUGAAUCACAAAGUGGUAAGCGCCCUCCCGAAGGUUAAGCUACCUACUUCUUUUGCAACCCACUCCCAUGGUGUGACGGGCGGUGUGUACAAGGCCCGGGAACGUAUUCACCGUGGCAUUCUGAUCCACGAUUACUAGCGAUUCCGACUUCAUGGAGUCGAGUUGCAGACUCCAAUCCGGACUACGACGCACUUUAUGAGGUCCGCUUGCUCUCGCGAGGUCGCUUCUCUUUGUAUGCGCCAUUGUAGCACGUGUGUAGCCCUGGUCGUAAGGGCCAUGAUGACUUGACGUCAUCCCCACCUUCCUCCAGUUUAUCACUGGCAGUCUCCUUUGAGUUCCCGGCCGGACCGCUGGCAACAAAGGAUAAGGGUUGCGCUCGUUGCGGGACUUAACCCAACAUUUCACAACACGAGCUGACGACAGCCAUGCAGCACCUGUCUCACGGUUCCCGAAGGCACAUUCUCAUCUCUGAAAACUUCCGUGGAUGUCAAGACCAGGUAAGGUUCUUCGCGUUGCAUCGAAUUAAACCACAUGCUCCACCGCUUGUGCGGGCCCCCGUCAAUUCAUUUGAGUUUUAACCUUGCGGCCGUACUCCCCAGGCGGUCUACUUAACGCGUUAGCUCCGGAAGCCACGCCUCAAGGGCACAACCUCCAAGUAGACAUCGUUUACGGCGUGGACUACCAGGGUAUCUAAUCCUGUUUGCUCCCCACGCUUUCGCACCUGAGCGUCAGUCUUUGUCCAGGGGGCCGCCUUCGCCACCGGUAUUCCUCCAGAUCUCUACGCAUUUCACNNNNNNNNNNNNNNNNNNNNCCUGGAAUUCUACCCCCCUCUACAAGACUCAAGCCUGCCAGUUUCGAAUGCAGUUCCCAGGUUGAGCCCGGGGAUUUCACAUCCGACUUGACAGACCGCCUGCGUGCGCUUUACGCCCAGUAAUUCCGAUUAACGCUUGCACCCUCCGUAUUACCGCGGCUGCUGGCACGGAGUUAGCCGGUGCUUCUUCUGCGGGUAACGUCAAUUGCUGCGGUUAUUAACCACAACACCUUCCUCCCCGCUGAAAGUACUUUACAACCCGAAGGCCUUCUUCAUACACGCGGCAUGGCUGCAUCAGGCUUGCGCCCAUUGUGCAAUAUUCCCCACUGCUGCCUCCCGUAGGAGUCUGGACCGUGUCUCAGUUCCAGUGUGGCUGGUCAUCCUCUCAGACCAGCUAGGGAUCGUCGCCUUGGUGAGCCGUUACCUCACCAACAAGCUAAUCCCAUCUGGGCACAUCUGAUGGCAAGAGGCCCGAAGGUCCCCCUCUUUGGUCUUGCGACGUUAUGCGGUAUUAGCCACCGUUUCCAGUAGUUAUCCCCCUCCAUCAGGCAGUUUCCCAGACAUUACUCACCCGUCCGCCACUCGUCAGCAAAGCAGCAAGCUGCUUCCUGUUACCGUUCGACUUGCAUGUGUUAGGCCUGCCGCCAGCGUUCAAUCUGAGCCAUGAUCAAACUCUUCAAUUUAAAAGUUUGAUGCUCAAUGAAUUAAACUUCGUAAUGAAUUACGUGUUCACUCUUGAGACUUGGUAUUCAUUUUUCGUCNNNNNNNNNNNNNNNNNNNNAAUUGUUAAAGAGCAGUGCAACGCGGCUUUCGCUCACCGUUGCGAGGUGGCGUAUAUUACGCUUUCCCGCUUCAGAGUCAA